rnacentral:lncRNA from 1 species
ACUAGAACUUGAAAACAAAGUCUAAAUCAACUAAGUAAUUCCACUUUAAGGGCAUAAUUUGUCAAAGAAAAUUCUUUCAAAAAGUGAGAAUUUGUCAUUGCAUUGAUUUGGAUCCCAGUUAUUCUAUCAUCACUUCCAUUUAGAGUCUUUUGAUGGUAACUUGGGUGCUGUCAUAUCCCAUAACUUUUUGAAUGGAUCUGGCUU